rnacentral:rRNA from 1 species
UACGUAGGUCCCGAACGUUGCGCGAAUUUACUGGGCGUAAAGGGUCCGUAGGCGGUUUAGCAAGUGGUUGGUGAAAUUUCACGGCUCAACCGUGAAACUGCCUUCCAAACUGCUAAACUUGAGGCAGGGAGCGGGCGGCGGAAUUCCCGGUGUCGCGGUGAAAUGCGUAGAUAUCCGGAGGAACACCAGUGGCGAAGGCGCCCGACUGUAACUGUCCUGACGCUGAGGUACGAAUUCCAGGGGCGCAAACCGG